rnacentral:lncRNA from 10 species
AGGAACGCCGGGAAGCACCUCACAGUCCCCUUCAGGUCAAAGGCUGAUCUCUUACACUUUGGAAAAAUAGAUACAGUUGAGCCCAUGAAGUUGCUGAUUUUUAAGUGUUUGCGACCUACAGAAACGGUUCAAGCCUCAUCCAUCGCUGUGAUGUCUUUCUCUCUCCUUGUUCUAUAAUUCAAGUGAGUUGCUGCCACAAAAGCAAGAAGGAUCACCAUUCAGCUGUAGCAACCUCCACGGAGGAAACAAGAGAGGAAAUGAGAUGUUCUCCAUUCUGCCAGAAGGCAAACUUCCAGCUACAAUCGGAGGUACUUUCUCUGCAGAUCGCUCUGCAGAAGAGCUGGGGAGAGACCUGGUAAAGUGUGGUAAGUUUCAGCACAUGGAAAACAACUGAGAGCAUGGCUGCUUCCCAUCUCCCUCGCCUUCGUUUCCAUCCGCCCACGCGGCCGCCUACACCCCCACUGCGCUCUGGCAGGAAGGGCCCCUCUGCCUGCGUCAUGCCAGCCACGUCACCACCACAGCCGCUGGCAGCACAGCACCCAGAGGCACUGGGAGUUUCAUAUCCACGUGAGAAAGUUUCAUAUCCACAUUGCUUGGGAAGGUUUCUUAACUAGGGAAUCAAUGUUAUCAAAGGGAAGGAAGCUACAGACGGUUCCUUAACAUGAAGGUAAAGGGUCACUACACUGUAUGCCAGUCGGGUAAGAACUGCAGAGUCGCAACAUUGAGAACACCGUGAGAAAAAAGUUUCAGCUCUGAACUAUCACCCCAUCUACAGAGACAGACUUUAACUAUUGUUUAACCAACUGGACUCUUCCACUAGUUCCAUUAGCAAGGUGACUUUCAAUGCUGACUCUCAGUAUUUGGAUAGUGUUACCAAAGGAGCAACUGAAAAACGAUUCUUUCUACAAGCACACAAUACGAAGACCAACUAACAUUUGUAUAACGUGCCAAGCCUUACCUGUUCUACGCUGUUUUUAUGCACUUCCUCUCACCCAGUCCUAUGGAAUACUGCUACUGGCUGCACAUCCCCAGUGCACAGCCGUAGAUGCAGAGGCUCCUAGAGAGGCUUUUACUUUUUAAACAAACACUACAUGGUGUUUACUCUUUGCCAGACAUUAUUUUAAGCCCUUCCCAAACUUUCGCACAUUUAAUCUUCAAACAGCCUGGUGAGGUGGGGCCUGGAAGCUUGAAAUGUGGGGCCUGGAAGCUUGAGCACGCAGAGGUUGAUGUGCUGUGGUCACAGUGGUCAGUGGCAAAGUUAGAUGUGAACGAGGACGGCUCAACUGUGUGACUCCACGGCUCACGCCCAGAACUCCUACCCGAGGCCAGCACACGCACACCCCAAAUGGAGGGACCACGUGGUGUUUUCUCACCUGAGACAUGGAAAACAUGCCACAGGUGCCACGUAGAGAUACACAUUUUCCUAUGGUAAAAGGGAGAAUUCAAGGAGUUAUGUCCACCCUCUAUCUCUUCCUCCUCCUAUAAUGAUACAGUUUAAAAAAUCUAAAGAGAAUUGGUUUACACGCCUUUGAGACCAAGUCAAGAGAUGAUUGAUUGGUUUACAUGCCUUUGAGACCAAGUCAAGAGAUGAUUGGUUUACAUGCCUUUCAGACCAAGUCAAGAGAGCAAAAACGCAAACUGAGGAAUUCACUUGAACCUAAUUUCAAAUCCGAAGGUUCAUCUCCACCCCUUCUAAUAUUGGACCGGUACUGAAAUGGUUUCGUGGUAUAAUUGACGAAGCCUCAGGGUAUGUAGUGGGCAACUCAGGGGGCUUCCCUGGACUUGAAGCCAGAGUAGGAAAUUCCAGCUAGGAGCAAUCUCCAUGGGCCCAGUGGGGCUUCAUGACAUGGUGCUCAGGGAUCAUAUUCUGAUUCGCAACUGUUGGUGUGAUGGGCAGUGGAAUGGACACGCAUUGGAUACGUAGUGGAAUGGAUCUAGAAAGAUCUCCAGGACACAUCAUCAGUGGAAGAAAGCAAGGGGAAGAACAGUGACUAUGUUAUGCUACCUUUCAGGUGAGCAAAGAGAAGAACAAUAUAUAGCCAAACUUUAUAGGCAUUGUAUAAAGAAACUCUAAAAAGCCAUCCAAAAAAUAGCCCUCUCUCCUCCUCCUCCCUUCGUGACUGUGUCUGUGACUGUAUGAGUGUGUGUAUCUGUGUGAGUGUGUGAGUGUGUACAGAUGGAACUGUGGUGAAAUGUGGCAGGGGAGGAAUGAGUCCUC